UACGAAGGGUGCGAGCGUUAAUCGGAAUUACUGGGCGUAAAGCGCGUGUAGGCGGUUGGUUCAGUCAGAUGUGAAAGCCCCGGGCUCAACCUGGGAACGGCAUUUGAUACUGGCUGACUAGAAUGUGGUAGAGGGAGGCGGAAUUCCCGGUGUAGCGGUGAAAUGCGUAGAGAUCGGGAAGAACACCAAUGGCGAAGGCAGCCUCCUGGGCCAACAUUGACGCUGAGACGCGAAAGCGUGGGGAGCAAACAGG
rnacentral:rRNA from 1 species